rnacentral:rRNA from 1 species
UACGAAGGGAGCGAGCGUUGUUCGGAAUCACUGGGCGUAAAGCGUGCGUAGGCGGUUUUAUAAGUCAGAAGUGAAAGCCUGGGGCUCAACCUCAGAAUUGCUUUUGAGACUGUAAAGCUAGAAUCCUGGAGAGGUUAGUGGAAUUCCGAGUGUAGAGGUGAAAUUCGCAGAUAUUCGAAGGAACACCAGUGGCGAAGGCGACUAACUGGACAGGCAUUGACGCUGAGGCACGAAAGCGUGGGGAUCAAACAGG